GCCCAAAAUCACGUGGUGUCCUCAUAGCGGUAAAGAACUCGGUGGCUUUCACUAUGCAUGAAACAGUGUCCAAUCCACGGGGCAGAUUCCUUACUUCCCAGAAAGUCUCUUUAUUCUUGGCACAGGGCAAUACUGCACUCUGACAUGGAGAAGUCUACUUUGUUUUAAAGGUAUUCCUUAAGGGAUGAGGGUAAUAACCUGCCUAUUGAUCUUUGUGAUCUUUUAAAAAAAGAUCCAAAACAUUCCAGAUUUGCAUGUCAAAAAGACUGUAUUCUACUUUAGAAACGUUAUCUAUUUAUAAUAAAACAUCUGUAACUAAUAGUUCAUAAAGUUAGAGAAUAAGUAAGUGAGAGAACAAAAGAUGCUCCCUAACAGAACAUAUUUCACUUGUUAGUUUGUUAAAAUGUUCUGCCUGGACAUCCAAUAAAAAGAAGACAUAAGCUGCCAUAGGGAUUCGUGAGCUACAGGUCUAAUAACUAGCCAGGAUACAUGAAUCUAAUUAUUAGAGAAUACAAUAAAUAGAAAAAUGUUUGACGGAAAGGAUUUUUUUGUACUGAAAUUAGUUAGGAUAUAUAGUCCCUUUUCAAAGUAUUU